rnacentral:ncRNA from 1 species
UCACUGACAAAGUGCUCGAAUGGUGAGGAUAAGCAGAUCGUAAAGACGCCGUAGAUCCAUCCAUGGAGGCUCGAGCCGCGCCAUCCCUGGCGCGGA